AUAUAUAUAUUCUAAACUAUCUAUUUGUGAUUCUAAUUUUGAUAUUUCAUCUUUUUGUGUAUCUAUUGAGUUUUUAUUAACUCCGGCAAAUAUAUUAUAAUGUAGUCUUUUUAUUCUUAUUUUUAAUUCUUUACGUUUUUCAGAAAUAAUUUGUUUUAAUUCUUUGUAUUGUUGUACUUUAUUCAUUUUAAAUUAUAUUUAUAAUAUCUUGGCGGAUAUCUAAAUCUAAUUUUAUCAUAAU
rnacentral:lncRNA from 1 species